CGGCGCGAGUACCAUUUGAUCGAGUGCAUGUGAGUUGCGGCGGAGGAAACGGUAGAGGCGGUGGCGGACGGCGACGCGGGCGAGCUUUUCGGUGGAGAUGUUAGCGGCGCGUAGGGCGGAGAGGCGUCCGGGGCCGAGGUCCGGGUUGGUGAGGUAGAGGUGGUUGGUGAUAGCGAGGCUGAGGGCUGCAUCGCCGACGAACUCGAGACGCUGGUAUGACCGGUGAUCGGGGUAGGAGGAGUGCGUAAGCGCCUCCGCCAGGAGGGACUGGUCCCGGAAAACGUAGCCCAGAAGACGCUCGAUCUCCGUCACGGCCCGUCGCAGCCCGCCGUCCCUCUCCUCCGCCUCGGGGCAGGAUCGGUUCAUGGUGUGACCGAAGCGGUGGCGGUGGUCGCUCGUCGUCCUCCGUGUCCUUGGGCCUCGGAGCGGUGUGAGACGCUAGUAAACCCAUUAGGGAUCAUCUCCAAAUCGUGCGGAUCCGACUCUUCUUGAAAUUCCACCUCCAACUGAUGAUAUCACAGCCAUCCAUUUGACCACGCGCCCUUCAUCUGACACCACUUGAUGGCUGAGAUGUGAUGUCCGAGUCGUAGUAAGGGUCAAGAUUAGGAUUCAAUGAAUUGUAUUGGUGUGAUUGGAUAAGAUCUUAGGACUUCUUUAGGAAAGGCGUACGGGAUUCCGGGUGGAAGCAAUACAUCUAUCCAACCCUUUCGUUCUUCAACGCAGAGCGAGUUGACUGGAGGAAAGAAGAGGGCCCACCUGGGGACCACCACAACCUUCUAAUAGGCAAAACGGUAAGGCGUCGAAAGUGCCAUGUUCGGUGCGGUGAAAACGCACCGAGAAAAACGUCACGCGAAUCGCACGACGGAUUCUGACCCUGUACGCUUCAAGAUUCGCAAAGUUCAGAUCCAGCGAUAAAACGAGGCCGUGCAUGCGUGCAUCUUUUCCGGAAGCAGUAAUAUAAUUAUUCCCGCAAGUUUUCUACCGCGUCGCCUCGUGGAAGGGUCAAGUGUCAGUGGGACCACUGGAGGGCCCCACUUUUGCCUCAGAGAGGUGCGCGGUGGUAAAACCAGUGGGCCGGUAAAGAGGAAUCGUCUGCAACUGGCCGUCACAUCACGGUCACUCGAUCCAUCUCGUCCAUCAAAUUGUGGGGAAUUCGAAACCAGGAACGGAACAACUGAAGUUACGAAGAGAUGAUGCGGCGCGUCAUUACCGAUGGUACUGCAUGUCUCCUGUUAUGCAGCAGCUUCGUAAGCCAAGUCGUACCGCAAAGCGUGUCGGGCGUUACAAGCGUGACACAUCCACCGCAGGAGCCCACAUAAACUCAUCCGAUAACACUGCCUCGGUUGUGGGCCCCAACGCUUUGCUUAAUAAGAGAGGGCGGCUUUUAUGCGUUCAGAGUUAACUACAUAUUUUAAAUAGAAAUUAGUAUUAAUAAAUAUUUUUAAAUUAUUUCUGAUUUAAAUAUUAUAUUCAAAUAUUAUCUCUGGAUAGUAUUAACAUUUCAGUAUUUAUACAAUGCUAAUAUUUUUUAAAAUUAUAAAAUAUUAUAUGAUUCUAUCUAAAAUUAUAAGAUUGUCAAAAUGAUUUAGUGAGAAACUAAUAUGAUUUCUAUUUUUUAUAAAGAUUAUAUUUAUUUUAUUUAUUUUUAAAGACCAUUAUAUAGAUAUGAUUAUAUAUUUAUUAUAUAUUUGGGCCAUAUGAAAUUUUUAUAAGAUUAUAUGCAUUCAUUUUUUUUUUCUUAUUUUAAAUAAAAAAAUAUGCAGGAUGAAUCAUCAGAAAAAAUUUAAAAAAUAGAUCGAGCAAUAUGAAAAAAUAGAGAAAUGAAGGAAGAAAAAGAUAAGUGGAUGGGGUUAUUUAAAGUAUUAGAUUUUAAAAUAUUACUAUUUAAAGUCCAUUCUUAUUAUUCAGAACUCUUUACCAUUCUCUUAGAAAAAGAAAUAAAAUAAUAUUUUAUUAUUUAUAACUCUUCUGGUUUCGCGUUAAACACAUCGUCUCCCAUAUACUCUACUAGAUAAUUUGUGAAAAUCCAAACAUGAAAUCUUCUAAGUUUAUUUUUCAUCUCUUAGAGUUGUAGUUUAUCUCAUCUCAACAUAUACAAAUACAUACAUACAUAUGAUGGACCUACGUGUCAAUCACUGUCACGUGGGACAACACAUUGGAGCCUCAAAGUCAACCCAAGAAAUCCUGUCUAUGAAAGCUGCUUCAAGAGCUUAAGAGUGGGAAUGCAAAGAUUGACAAAUAUUUGACAUAAUAAGAUCUUGCAAUCAAUUCUCAUUCGAAACUAAUUUCACAAUAUCUGCUUGAUAUAAAAAGUAUAAUGGAUAAAUUUAAAUAUCCAUCACUAUUGUUUGUACGAAAGGAUAUCAUAUUUUACAAGAAAAAAAAUUUUUUUUUUGAGCAAUUGAGAAGAUUAGCAGGACCACAAAUCAUGGCAGGAGAAAAGAGGCAAUACAAAAGAGAACAUUUACAUGACUAAAAGUCGAGCUAGAUUUGGGUUAAAUUAUAGCUGGAUUUCUACAUGGAUAUAUUGUUUAACGACCAACCAAAAUAUCGGCUAACAUCUUAGAUGCUGCUGAAUUUUCUGCAUCUUUCACUCUUGAUUUUGGAUCCCCAAAGGUGAUGAAGGUGCAGCCCUCAGUUUCAACUUGGACUGAGCAUAUGAAUCUUUUACAGUGUGCAGGCCCUUCCUCUUUCUCAAUCCUGCAAGUUCCAUCAAUGCAGUGAUUAGGGAAUAUAUAUAUCUUUGUUUUCUAGCAGUAAGAACACGAUUGAAGACUUUUUUAUUGAGAUGAUUGAAGAAUAAAAGAUUGAUGAAGCAAUUCUGAAUGGAUGCACCAACAAAGACAAUAUUUUGACUGAUAGUAUAAAUUAAGAUUUCAUUGUUGUUGAAGUUUAUAAGAAGGAACUGCGAAAACAAGCUUGACCACAGAAUUGCUUGAACACAUUCAAUCUAAAUAUAACAACACAUCAUGACAAUGUUGUAGAAGUGAAUUGGAAGGAUCCAAUUCACUCAUUGUUUAUUAACUACCACAUUAUUGUGAUGGAAGAAGAAUUGUAAAGCAUUUAAGAGAAAAACAACACAAAACAUCUUGAAAAAAGCAUGUCUGAGAACCCAAAAUUGCCUCAAGAACAGAAUCAUAAAUUCUCAGUAGACUAUAACAAUUAGGGCAGGAAAAGGAAGCUUAAAGAAGAACUUACUUGUAUAUGGGCAUUAUCCAAUGCUUCUUGCUGCAAAACUGGUUUAGUUUCUGCUUGGAUCCAUCUUUCUCCUCUGCAGUUCCAUUGCCUGCGGCCGAGCUCAACUCGACGUCCAUGUCGGCUUCCUCUAAAGCAGACAGCUUUUGCAGCGCAUCUCUCGCAGCGUUGAGCUUUGCGAUCGACCUCUGCUCCGAGCAACCGAUGCCCAUGAGGUCUCCGUCAAUAAAGACGCUGAUGUUGUUCACAAAACCUCUCUUCCAGUUUUUGAUCUCGAUGCUUCUGCCCUGCUUCUGACAGAGCUCGUAGAGCGUCGUCACCGGCUGCUCGUCCAUGUUCUCCGACGUGAUGAUCGGCUCCAAAAUCCCCCUCAAUACCUACGCACGACCCGCAAUUAUAAUAGACCCACGAAGCAGCGAAAAGGAGAGGACACAACAAGCUCACCUUCCAGAGCAACUCAAGAUCGAAAUUGCAGUCGACGUAGACGGCGGCAGCGAUGGACUCCACGAUGUCGGCCAACACUUUGGGGGCUUUGACGGUGCUUCCGCCGUACGGAGCCCACCCAAUUUCUUCCUCCCUCUCCAUCAUCACCAAGUUCGUGAAAUCGAACACCUAUUAGGGUAAAAAGCGAAGCGUGAGAGGCCACGAUCGCACCGAGUCGGAAUCGUCGAGGGGUGACGCGGCGCUAGUACCAUUUGAUCGAGUGCAUGUGAGUUGCGGCGGAGGAAACGGUAGAGGCGGUGGCGGACGGCGACGCGAGCGAGCUUUUCGGUGGAGAUGUUAGCGGCGCGUAGGGCGGAGAGGCGUCCGGGGCCGAGGUCCGGGUUGGUGAGGUAGAGGUGUUUGGUGAUGGCGAGGCUGAGGGCUGCAUCGCCGACGAACUCGAGACGGUGGUAUGAACGGUGGUCGGGGUAGGACGAGUGCGUAAGCGCCUCCGCCAGGAGGGACUGAGACCUG
rnacentral:lncRNA from 1 species